rnacentral:lncRNA from 1 species
GAAAUAAAAGGCCGCCCUCCCAUUACUUGCUAACCCAAUACCUAUCAUAACAACUUUUAAGAGCACGCCAAUGUACUGUGCAAGCAAGUUAUUAGCGCCGAGCAAACCGUAUGGAGUCCGGUUGGCAACGCGAAACAGCCCCGCGAGCAGGGCUGCAGCGCGGUAACUUAUUGGUAAGCUAAACCAAUAUGUUUGACAAGCGCCGCUAUUGCUGCUUAGCUUUCUUGUUGCAACACGCGGUUGCAUGCCAUGCAAAUGUCAACAGUGCCGCUGAAACCUGAGCGCGAAUACCUUGCGGGCGCUGCCAUAACCCUCUUCAGCAUUGAAAAGAACUUACAGCAUGACACCGGCUGCAAAAUCCACUACAGGGCCAGCCAGCCCAAUGUCCAAGGGGCUUGGGUCGACCGUUGGCCCGCUCCGCCGCCACAGGGGGGCGCCGCGCCGGCCUCGUCGUCCUUCGAAGGGUGAGUGCUAGGGCUCCGCUGGUCAGGCAUCACAGUGUUUGCAAUGCCUAGCAAACGUAUGCACGUUCCAGGUGGACAGUGCGAAGGGGGCAGCAAACUUUGGUAGAACAGGCAGUGGGAGGGGGCCCUCGUGGCCACGGCCAGGACUCCUGCCCCUCCCUGGUCCGCCCCAGCGGCUGGAAAGGAGCCUCGUCCUCUCCACGGAUCCUAGACAGCAAAAUACCGCACUGCACGCAUUCAGAAGGGGUCCCAUCCAAACCCUAAA